AUGCCUUCUAUCUUUAUGCUCGUUUCGAAAGCAAUUUGGGAUGAGAGGAACGCACGGGUUUUUCGAGGCCGCUCCGCUCCAACGUUUAGCACUCUCCAACCAAUCAAGCACGAGGCGAAGCUAUGGAUCCUAGCAGGGGCGAAACAUUUGGGUCUUCUGAUGCCGGGAGAGUAA
rnacentral:rRNA from 1 species